rnacentral:rRNA from 1 species
UACGUAGGGGGCAAGCGUUGUCCGGAUUUAUUGGGCGUAAAGAGCGUGUAGGCGGUUAGGUAGGUCCGUUGUGAAAACUCGAGGCUCAACCUCGAGACGCCGAUGGAAACCAUCUAACUAGAGUCCGGAAGAGGACGAGUGGAAUUCCUGGUGUAGCGGUGAAAUGCGCAGAUAUCAGGAGGAACACCAAUAGCGAAGGCAGCUCGCUGGGACGUUACUGACACUGAGGCGCGAAAGCGUGGGGAGCGAACAGG